rnacentral:rRNA from 1 species
UACAGAGGGGGCAAGCGUUGUUCGGAAUUACUGGGCGUAAAGGGCGCGUAGGCGGCCUUCUAAGUCGGGCGUGAAAUCCCCGGGCUCAACCCGGGAACUGCGUCCGAUACUGGAAGGCUUGAAUCCGGGAGAGGGAUGUGGAAUUCCAGGUGUAGCGGUGAAAUGCGUAGAUAUCUGGAGGAACACCGGUGGCGAAGGCGGCCUUCUGGACAGUGACUGACGCUGAGACGCGAAAGCGUGGGGAGCAAACAGG